AGAGUUUGAUCAUGGCUCAGAACGAACGCUGGCGGCGUGCCUAACACAUGCAAGUCGAACGGAGCCAAGAUGCAGGAUGCAGGAUACAAGAGAAAGAAAAUGAGUAUCAUGCAUCUUGCAUCCUGUAUCUUGGCUUAGUGGCGGACGGGUGAGUAACACGCAGGUAACCUACCCUUGGGCGGGGGAUAAUCCCGCGAAAGCGGGACUAAUACCGCAUACAUCCACUGGCUGGGAUGCUGGUGGGGAAAGUGGCAACACACCUAAGGAUGGGCCUACGGCCUAUCAGGUAGUUGGCGGGGUAAGAGCCCACCAAGCCGAAGACGGGUAGCCGGGCUGAGAGGUUGGACGGCCACACUGGAACUGAGACACGGUCCAGACUCCUACGGGAGGCAGCAGUGGGGAAUCUUGCGCAAUGGGGGAAACCCUGACGCAGCGACGCCGCGUGGAGGAUGAAGGUCUUCGGGUUGUAAACUCCUUUUCUUGGGGAAAAUGAUGAUGGUACUCAAGGAAUAAGCCACGGCUAACUCUGUGCCAGCAGCCGCGGUAAGACAGAGGUGGCGAGCGUUGUUCGGAAUUACUGGGCUUAAAGGGCGAGUAGGCGUCCCGGUAAGUCAGCUGUGGAAUCUUUUCGCUUAACGAAAAAAUUGCAUCUGAAACUAUCGGGAUUGAGUCAGUGAGGGGAGGGCGGAAUUCCUGGUGUAGCGGUGAAAUGCGUAGAUAUCAGGAGGAAGGCCUGUGGCGAAGGCGGCCCUCUGGCACUGUACUGACGCUGAGGCG
rnacentral:rRNA from 1 species